rnacentral:sRNA from 1 species
AAGUCUUCUGCUGACAAUUUGCAGGAAGCUUGAUCCCCGUCCCCGGUCUUUGACCACGGAUGUACUGGCAUGGACCACAAGGAUGGGUGGAAAGGCCGGGAGUUUCCCGGCCUUUUUGCGU